AUAAACUCUGAUGUUAAAACUCUUACUAAAAAAAUUCCCUCCUUUCAACCUAAUUGCACGUACUUAUGCAUCGAUGUUCGCGGCUACCGACAAAUUGCACGUAUGCUUGCGAUCUAUGGAGAGUAUACCAUCUACCAAUUCACCGUUAACCAUGGCCUUAAGGCUUCCGUGUUUCAAUCCGAGCACCUGAGGGGGAUGUGCAUCUCACGGCAAGAUUAAGGCACGUACACAUCGCACGAUCCCAUAAGUGCACUUCCUCACCAGGAGAGACGGUGGUUCCCUCCAUGGGGAAAUACGAAACGAAUCAAGAAUUUUGCUGAAUCGUUACGCUUUAUUCGCCUUUCUCUUCGUUUGUUCUCUAUGCCUAUGGAAGAUUCAUCGAUGAAUUUUCGAUGUCUAUGUCGAUAGAAAUUGAAGCUUGUUAUUGGUAUUAUUUAUUAGGAUUGUCGAGCAAUAUAGAAUAACAAUAUGACACGAAGCUUUCGUCCAAAAUAUUUGUCAUCAACAAUUUUAAAGAUAUUCGAAUAAAUCGAUUUAAAUGAAGACCUUGAAUAACAUAAGUAUGUAUAUAUUAUCGCUCGAUAUUUUCAAGUCAUUUUUCUUAUAUACAAUAAAACUAUGAAAUAAGAAAAUUACUACUUUACUCUAUUUCUUAUAGCUUCUUGUUUUUCAUGAAUUUUUUUUUUAAAUUUUAUUCUCACAUUAUUCGUUACAUCGUAAUUUCGUUGCUUUUUUUAUUUAUAUAAUUGAUACAAUUAAACUAUUUAUUUUUAACGUAACGAACGUGAUAAUAAUAUUAUUAAGUGGAAAAUGCGAAAUCAAAAAAAGGAAAAAUAUUGGCCGUCUUGAAUCUUCGAGUCCACACUUAACGAGAGUGGUUUUUGUCGAAGCGAGUACACUCGUUCGUUCGAAAGCCGAUCGCAAUGAGACAGGAUCGUUCCUUCGUUUCCGAAACGGAGAAUUCAUGAAGAAAGGGAGAAAAACUAACGAAAAUAAAAAUCAAAAAUUAAAGAGUCCUAAAAUUUCCAAAUUUUUUGUUUCAAUUUUCAAGACACGAAAUUUUCAAAUGUAGGUAAAAAUUUUGGAAAUUCCAAGUUCUUAUUUUAUAAUUUUUUAAAUUUAGAGAAAAUAAAAAUAGGAGAAAAUAAGUCAAAAAACAAAAGAAAAAAGAAAGAAGGAAUAUAAAAAUUGAAAGAAUAAAUAUUCUAGUCAAGAAAGGAAGGUACGUAAGUAUAUAUGUAUAAAGUAUAAAGUGAAAAAGAUGGAGAGAGAAAAUAUGAAAAGAAAAUAUGAAAAGGAUAAAGAUAGUAAUAUUGCAAAAAGAAAAUAGAAGGUGAGUAGGAAAAGAUUACAUCAAAGAUGAAAUCACAUGUUGGUCCA